rnacentral:rRNA from 1 species
ACGGCGCAGGGGGGCGUAACACGUGGGCAAUCUGCCCUCCGAUGGGGAAUAACCCCGCGAAAGCGGGGCUAAUUCCGCAUAACAUUCCUUGAACUCUGGUUUGGGGAUUCAAAGCAGCAAUGCGUCGGAGGAGGAGCCCGCGCCCGAUUAGCUAGUUGGUGAGGUAAUGGCUUACCAAGGCAAUGAUCGGUAGCUGGUCUGAGAGGAUGAUCAGCCACACUGGAACUGAGACACGGUCCAGACUCCUACGGGAGGCAGCAGUGGGGAAUCUUGCACAAUGGGCGAAAGCCUGAUGCAGCGACGCCGCGUGGGGGAUGAAGCUUUUCGGAGUGUAAACCCCUUUCGACCGGGAAGAAUGCCCGCAAGGGAGUGACGGUACCGGUAUAAGAAGCCCCGGCUAACUACGUGCCAGCAGCCGCGGUAAGACGUAGGGGGCCAGCGUUGUUCGGAAUUACUGGGUGUAAAGGGUUCGUAGGCGGUGCGGCAAGUUGGGAGUGAAAUCCCUGGGCUUAACCCAGAGGCUGCUUCCAA